AGAGUUUGAUCAUGGCUCAGGAUGAACGCUGGCGGUGUGCCUAAUACAUGCAAGUCGUGCGAGUAGUUUACUACUAGCGGCGAACGGGUGAGUAACACGUAUCUAACCUACCCAUCAGUCUGGAAUAACAUCGAGAAAUUGGUGCUAAUACUGGAUAGCUAAUAUUUACUUAUGUUUAUAUUACUAAAGGCGCGUUUGCGUCGCUGAUGAAUGGGGAUGCGCAGCAUUAGAUAGUUGGUAGGGUAAGAGCCUACCAAGUCAACGAUGCUUAGCCGGCCUGAGAGGGUGAUCGGCCACACUGGAACUGAGACACGGUCCAGACUCCUACGGGAGGCAGCAGUAGGGAAUUUUCGACAAUGGGGGAAACCUUGAUCGAGCAACACCGCGUGAGGGAUGAAGGAUUUCGGUCUGUAAACCUCUGUUGUAAGGGAAGAACAAGUGGGAUAGGAAAUGAUUCCACCCUGACGGUACCUUACCAGAAAGCGACGGCUAACUUCGUGCCAGCAGCCGCGGUAAUACGAAGGUCGCAAGCGUUAUCCGGAUUUACUGGGCGUAAAGAGUGCGCAGCUGGUCUAUCAAGUCUGAUGUUAAAGUCUGGAGCUCAACUCCAGUCCGCAUUGGAAACUAGUAGACUCGAGUUAUAGAGAGGUAAGUGGAAUUCCUAGUGUAUCGGUGGAAUGAGUAGAUAUUAGGAGGAACACCAGUGGCGAAGGCGACUUACUGGCUAUAUACUGACAGUCAUGCACGAGAGCGUGGGGAGCAAACAGGAUUAGAUACCCUGGUAGUCCACGCCGUAAACGUUGAGUACUAGGUGUUGGCCAUAAGGGCAGUACCGCAGCUAACGCAUUAAGUACUCCGCCUGGGUAGUAUGCACGCAAGUGUAAAACUCAAAGGAAUUGACGGGGACCCGCACAAGCGGAGGAGCAUGUGGUUUAAUUCGAUGCACGCGAANANCUUACCAGGACUUGACAUACUAUGC
rnacentral:rRNA from 1 species